rnacentral:rRNA from 1 species
UACGGGGGGGGCAAGCGUUGUUCGGAAUUACUGGGCGUAAAGGGCUCGUAGGCGGCCAACUAAGUCAGACGUGAAAUCCCCAGGCUCAACCUGGGAACUGCGUCUGAUACUGGAUGGCUUGAAUUCGGGAGAGGGAUGCAGAAUUCCAGGUGUAGCGGUGAAAUGCGUAGAUAUCUGGAGGAACACCGGUGGCGAAGGCGGCAUCCUGGACCGGUAUUGACACUGAUGAGCGAAAGCCAGGGGAGCAAACGGG